AUGUUAAUUUAGUCUUAGCCAGCGUUUUUGGACAUUGGUGCAGUCUUGUCAUCGUCUCGUCUUCGUCAUGGAAAAAAAGACAAAUGGUUCAGCAAAACAAGU